UACGGAGGGUGCAAGCGUUAUCCGGAUUCACUGGGUUUAAAGGGAGCGUAGGUGGGCUGGUAAGUCAGUGGUGAAAUCUCCGGGCUUAACUCGGAAACUGCCGUUGAUACUAUCAGUCUUGAAUAUUGUGGAGGUAAGCGGAAUAUGUCAUGUAGCGGUGAAAUGCUUAGAUAUGACAUAGAACAACGAUAGCGAAGGCAGCUUGCUACACAAUUAUUGACACUGAGGCUCGAAAGCGUGGGGAUCAAACAGG
rnacentral:rRNA from 1 species